ensembl:lncRNA
UUUUGUUUUUUUUUAAAAGCAAAAAUAUUUUUUUAAUCGAUUGUGUGUUGAACACAAAAGAGGAAGAUGAUUUGAAUUUCUCCCUGAGCAGUUCUGCAUGUAACUGAACGGUCUGUCUAAACUGAGUGGCCUGCAGCUCAGGGAGACUCUUCAGUAAAUUAACCCAGCAGUUAUUGUAGUUUGAGAGGCAUGCUGUGCUGCACCCAUACUCUCUGUUAAAGCAGGGUUUGUGCAAUACAAAAAGCAGCAGCUGAGAUUUGCAUAAUUUGUCCAUUGGCAUAAUUUUGCAGCCCACAGCUCGUUAUAGAUCUCGUGUUGAGGAUGGAGAUCGGUGAAGAUGCCCCCAUGUUUACAAAGAUCCUCGUGUAUGUCUUGUUUCUCCUGGAAUUAACUUGUGAUUAUAUGUAAUGGAAAUCCUACACCUACUACCUACUCUUUCAAAACUUUAUUCACUGUGUAUGGGCUCGGUGCUUGCAACCUUUUGUACAGUAGAUGUAAAUAAUAGAAAAAAUGGAGUCAUGUGAAAACAAAGGCCUGUUCACACUUGAGAACGUCAGAGAUGUGGCUCCACCAAACAAAUUAUAAAGCUCUAUUUUUAGCUGUUGAAUCAACAUUGGACUGGAUUCCCAUGUGACAACCAUUAAACCUUCACCAUUGAACCUUUUGGAGCCCAGGGCCAAACCACACCUCAAUGCUGCUUUUGCACCAACUUCUGCCAAUGUUUCCUGUAGUUCUUGGUAAUUGGUUGGCUGGAUUUUGUUGACAAUGGCACUUGACAUUUACUGUGAUUGAAAUUUGUGAGCAACUGAAUCUGAGAAUUACAGUGAAAAGUCAAAUGCAGCUACCACACGAUCAGGAGAUAUUAAAACUAUGAAUUAAACCGUCUACACGUGCUCAAAGGCGAGCAAUACUGGGGUACACAUAAAGAUUUUCUGCCAUUUUUGUUAGUAUUUAAAAGAGUGUUGACAUUCUGAAGUAUGUUUAGCCUUCUUUUUAGUCACCACAUUGAAUAGAAAUUAGAUACACAUUUUGCAGUAUCAUUCUACAGGGAAGAGGCACAAGUGUCCUCUACCAGGUGCUAAAUAACGAAUACGGUCUUUUCAUUUAAGACUUGCACAUUUACAUCAAUGCAAUUACAGUAUGCAAGUACACAGACAAAUCAGACAGCCGUUCUCCACUCUAGCUUAAAACUGAAUCUCCCACUUGAAGUUUUCUUUUUCAUUUUUUUUUUUUUAUGACCCCGGCCUUUAUUUUAGUCUCCUUACUUUGGAAAAUGAAUACCAGCAAAGUGCUUGUACUUGUUGGCUGUGGCUGAUAAGGCUCUGUGCUCUACCAGUCACAGCCAGAGUUAGUUUGUUUUGUAAUUGUAGGAAGCAGUUUGCCUGGUGGAAGCAGUGGAAGUAGCUGUUGAAUUUUGGGGUCUGCCAGCUACCAGAAUGAGCAAAGAGCUUCCCGCCCUGCAAAUAGUCCAAAUACUACUUCUCAGAGAGGAUCCGCGGCCUCCCCCAUGUGAUGUGGACAUAGAGGCUGGCAGUUGACCUGUAAAACAGUGUGCCGCUCAGAGAGUAUGCUGACUUCAGGAUGUGUGAUGGUGUGAAUAAUCUCCUCUUCUGGUUGGUUGCCACGUGGGCUGAAAAUUGUUGGGCUUUCCAUCUGAAUGGACUCGGACCGUUUGAAAAGGAUGUGAAGCUUAUCGUGGGACAAAGUGUUGGAGAGCUAUGGCGAAGGGAUCCCGUGGUGUGUUGUCCUCUUUGCUUACUUUACUUGACGGCAGAGCUGCGGCGAUCUGUGGUCUCCACCGAGGGGCCUCGGGAUUGCGCCGCACCGCCAAAAAUGUUUGUCGUUGCAACCUUGUGCACUCAAGGCAGACGCAUGCUGUGACCUUUUGACUGUGUAGCAGUAUUGUUGUCGCCAUCUUUGUUACAUUUUGAAAUGACUCACUUUUGAGAAUAAAGACGUUGAUUAUAAAUAUGCUUUUUCCCCCCCUGCGGGCUGUGACUGAAGAUUUGAUCACCGUGUCUGAUUGGACGUUUUAACCCAGGCGCCAAGGCCCCUCCUGUUUGAUCAGUGAGUGCUAAAGAGUGUGCUGUGCAGCCUCAAAACCGCCACCACCUUCACUGGUUUAUUUAUCACUGCCAAGCUGUUUGCAGCCAUUUUUAAAUGCAGGGCCACUCAGUCCCCAGCGCUUGUCUGUCAUGUCAUAUGUUGUGAUGCCCACCUCGGCCUGUCUGUGAUGCUUACUAACGGGGGCCCUAUUAAGAGUUGAAUGAUAGCACGUGUGGAGAGGGGACGUGCUGGUCACAGGAGAGAGUGGAUCAGUGUUGUGGACCCUUCUGGGUGCUCAAGCUGUGCAUUGGUGCUUAAUAGCCUGAAAAGAUCUGCUUUGGUUUAUAAAGGAGAGGGGAAUGCAUCGAUGAGUGAAAUUAGGAUAAGGAACGAUUUAAGAGGGCUAGCCUAGCCUAGUCCUCCACCUGCUCUUAAGCUGGGUUUGGUUUGGUAUUUUUGCUGCUGGGUGUUACCUGUCUGGCUAAAAGUGGACGUUUGAAAAGCUUUUCAGAGUCUGUUUUAGAUUAUGAGGGAGAAAAUAGGGUUCUAACUUUAGAGAAAACAGUGCAUAGCCCACUAAAAUGCAUAGGUGUGGUGAGCAGGAUCUGGUUGCAUUAACUUGAUAGGAAGGAUCAGCUGAACUGGAUUUCUCCACUGAAGGAGAAGGUGGUUGUGUUUGAGGUUGGAGGAACCGCGAAGAGUAGGUCAGAGAGCCGAGGAGGGAGGAGAAGAAGGGCAGGGACUUAAAGAACCCAGAUCAGGUGUUCGGUUGUUGAUCAAGAAGAAAAGCAGGAAAACUAUUUUCCAGUAGAUCUAGAAUCUUCCUUAAUUGUUUACUCUUCACUUUAAAAACUUCACACACAGUUUCUUUGUCUCGUUUCUUGUAUCAGUCUUUUCAAUCUAUGCUAUUCAUCUUUUGUUUAUUACAAAGUAUUAAACAAAUACGAGAAGUGUAAAAUCAGAAUGGAAGAAUCUGUCACUCGUUAUUAAUUUCUCUCUUUCUCUUGUGUCUGUUCGUUGUCCUGUUUGUAUCUUACUCCAUCGUACAUGUGGAGCUGAUUGACUAUUGUGUGCUUUGGGGACUGAAAGAAGAAAAAAAAAAUGAAACUUUUUUUUUUUCAGUCAUUAAUUCUGAAUCUCGUUUCUGUUUGUUGUAUCAUGAGUAAAGGUUUUAAUACUGUA